CCUACGGGAGGCAGCAGUGGGGGAUAUUGCACAAUGGGGGGAACCCUGAUGCAGCGACGCCGCGUGGGUGAAGAAGCGCCUCGGCGCGUAAAGCCCUGUCAGCAGGGAAGAAAAUGACGGUACCUGAAGAAGAAGCCCCGGCUAACUACGUGCCAGCAGCCGCGGUAAUACGUAGGGGGCAAGCGUUAUCCGGAUUUACUGUGUGUAAAGGGGGCGCAGACGGCGAUGCAAGCCAGGAGUGAAAGCCCGGGGCCCAACCCCGGGACGGCUCUUGGAACUGCGUGGCUGGAGUGCAGGAGGGGCAGGCGGAAUUCCUGGUGUAGCGGUGGAAGGCGUAGAUAUCAGGAGGAACACCGGUGGCGAAGGCGGCCUGCUGGACUGCAACUGACGUUGAGGCCCGAAAGCGUGGGGAGCAAACAGGAUUAGAUACCCGGGUAGUC
rnacentral:rRNA from 1 species